GACGAACGCUGGCGGCGUGCUUAACACAUGCAAGUCGAACGGAAUCCAUAGAGUAGCAAUACUCCGGAAGAUUUAGUGGCGAACGGGUGAGGAACACGUGAGAAACUUGCCCCGGACUUUGGGAUAACAGUUGGAAACGACUGCUAAUACCGAAUACCUUCGGAGGCCCGCAUGGGUCAUCGAAGAAAGAAUUUCGGUUCGGGAGAGUCUCGCGGCCUAUCAGCUAGUUGGUGGGGUAAUGGCCUACCAAGGCAAUGACGGGUAGCUGGUCUGAGAGGAUGAUCAGCCACACUGGGACUGAGACACGGCCCAGACUCCUACGGGAGGCAGCAGUGGGGAAUCUUGUGCAAUGGGCGCAAGCCUGACACAGCAACGCCGCGUGCGGGAAGAAGGCCUUCGGGUCGUAAACCGCUUUCAGCAGGAACGAAAAUGACGGUACCUGCA
rnacentral:rRNA from 1 species